rnacentral:rRNA from 1 species
UAGCUGCGAGCGAAUAGGGAAAAGCUCAGCACCGAAUCCCGCGGCCGACACCGGACGCUGGGAAAUGUGGUGUUAGGGAGGAUCCAUUUAUCUCGAAAUUUGGUGGUGCGUCCAAGUCCUUCUUGAAUGGGGCCACAGCCCAUAGAGGGUGCCAGGCCCGUAGUGACCAUUGCCAGUUGCGAGAGGAUCUCUCCUCAGAGUCGGGUUGCUUGAGAGUGCAGCCCUAAGUGGGUGGUAAACUCCAUCUAAAGCUAAAUAUAACCACGAGACCGAUAGCGAACAAGUACCGUGAGGGAAAGUUGAAAAGCACUUUGAAGAGAGAGUUCAAGAGUACGUGAAACCGUUCAGGGGUAAACCUGAGAAACCCGAAAGGUCGAAAGGGGAAAUUCAUUCGCGUCUCGUUAUUGGCAAUAGAUGUUUGUAUGACAAAUAAGGUACGCCGAAUUUGCUUCAUUCAUCUUGUUGAACUAAUAUCGAAUGCGUGCACUUUUCCCCUAGUAGGACGUCGCGAUCCGUUGAGUGUCAGUCUAAGGUCUAUGGUGGAGACUAUCUGAAUAGUAAUUAUUACUACCUUUGGAUAGACCCAUGGUAUCCCGACUGACUCGCUCGACGGUAUACAGAUGGUGCAGAGCCGCAAAAUUUAAUUUGCGUUCGGCCCAUAGCAAGCACGUGUGGAUUUAAAUUAGAAUUAUCGGACUUUGUGCCGAUUCUGAUGCCAGACGACUGUUGGCUAUGUGUGUUCUUGAACAGACUCUGAAAAUUCAUAAUGAAACACCGAUCUGCGGCGCUAUAGCUUUGGGUACUUUCAGGACCCGUCUUGAAACACGGACCAAGGAGUCUAGCAUGUGCGCGAGUCAUUGGGAAUUUAAUUAAACCUAAAGGCGUAAUGAAAGUAAAGAUUUACCUUGCGUGAAUCUAGGGAAGAUGGGUAGUUUGCCCAUAAAGUGGCUACCUCGCAUUCCCGGGGCGUCUCAUUCUCAUUAUGAGAAGAGGCGCACCAAGAGCGUACACGCUGGGACCCGAAAGAUGGUGAACUAUGCCUGGUCAGGACGAAGUCAGGGGAAACCCUGAUGGAGGUCCGUAGCGAUUCUGACGUGCAAAUCGAUCGUCGGAACUGGG